rnacentral:rRNA from 1 species
GUCGUCCGACGGUCGUGACGUCCCGAACCACAGAAGGUUAUUUUCCUCUGGUACCCCUCUCCUCUUCGAAGCAAAGUCUCCAGUCAGAUCACACCUCCUCACGGCCGGUACCGGCAACUCCGUAUAAUCCGAUCCGAUAUAGAGAUAAAUAGUGUUGCAUGGAUCCAUGAGAAGUUGAUCGAUAUAUAUCAACGGAUCGAUAUAAUAGACCGCCGUGGUUGCUGUACCCCUCCGGCGGUACGACACUGUUACCACCGCGGUCGCACUUCUUCCCCGGUACCUGCGGCCUCCUCCUAUAGUAGGAACAGAGGAUGUAGGUCGUCGUGCCCGGGCCCUUGACCGCGAGGCACGGGCUCUUGUGGCCCAACUACUCCACGUCGUUCUCGACGUCCGACGCCACCUGGUUGAUGGAGUCUGGGCCCUAGUUCUCUCCCUUGAAGUGGGUCGUACUCCUUCCCUAUUAGUAUGUGGACGUCCGUAACGAACCGUUGUUCACCCGUCGUUAUCGGAGGAUGGAGGGGGUUUCUUGUCUAUUGCUGUAGUUCUUGAUGACCUUGUGUGUGGAGUUCUUCUUUCACUUCUCCGACGUUGUUGUUUGUGUAGGACGUCUAGUGAAGAAGGUCGUGUGUAGGUGACGGUGGUUACGUCGACUCGUUUGGUGGUCGUACUUAAUGAUGUUGGGAUCGUCGUCAUUGGAGCUGAGGCGGUACGUUCGGCGGUACCCAAUGGGGCUCUGGCGGUGCCCGUUGCAACGUGGACGGUGGUACCGGCAGAGCUUCGAGAAGGUCAGAACCUACGGCUUCCAGGGUAGCGGCCUCUACCGCCUGAUGUUCCCAUACCACCGGUACGUCCUCAAGGCCUGGCUACCUCUCCGGCCACGGCGUCAAAGGUACUGGUCACCGCUGUCCAAGAGCAGGAGUCUCUAUAACCGGUCGGCACCGCUCCGACGGUGCCGGUACUGGAAGAGCCACGAGCUCUUGACCAACGAGCUGCUGUACUGUGGCCCCGUCCGACGGCACCUGCCCGAGUACCUGUAGAGAAGACCAACGACACGUUUGGGGUAGUACAAAACUAUCCGGGACAGACAAAGAAGCGUGAGGACAGAGGACCAGCGGUUAGAACACAAAGGCCAAUUAUUCGGCAACCAAAAUAUUUCCAUAUUUAUUUUCUGUCUCUAUUGCUCGAGGUAUACAGGAGGAAUAGGGGCAGCGGGGAAUAAGAAUCUAAGCCUG